rnacentral:rRNA from 1 species
ACGCUCGACACCUACGGGGNGAGCAGUAGGGAAUCUUCCACAAUGGACGCAAGUCUGAUGGAGCAACGCCGCGUGAGUGAAGAAGGUCUUCGGAUCGUAAAACUCUGUUGUUAGAGAAGAACACGAGUGAGAGUAACUGUUCAUUCGAUGACGGUAUCUAACCAGCAAGUCACGGCUAACUACGUGCUAGCAGCCGCGGUAAUCUGAGCGGGCUGGCAAGGC